CAAACGGUCCUUUUUAGGGCCACCACCAAUAAUAUACGUUGUCACU
rfam:Lasius niger Lnig_2.1_14065, whole genome shotgun sequence.